GACGAACGCUGGCGGCGUGCCUAAUACAUGCAAGUUGAGCGCUGAAGGUUGGUACUUGUACCAACUGGAUGAGCAGCGAACGGGUGAGUAACGCGUGGGGAAUCUGCCUUUGAGCGGGGGACAACAUUUGGAAACGAAUGCUAAUACCGCAUAAAAACUUUAAACACAAGUUUUAAGUUUGAAAGAUGCAAUUGCAUCACUCAAAGAUGAUCCCGCGUUGUAUUAGCUAGUUGGUGAGGUAAAGGCUCACCAAGGCGAUGAUACAUAGCCGACCUGAGAGGGUGAUCGGCCACAUUGGGACUGAGACACGGCACAAACUCCUACGGGAGGCAGCAGUAGGGAAUCUUCGGCAAUGGAAGAAAGUCUGACCGAGCAACGCCGCGUGAGUGAAGAAGGUUUUCGGAUCGUAAAACUCUGUUGGUAGAGAAGAACGUUGGUGAGAGUGGAAAGCUCAUCAAGUGACGGUAACUACACAGAAAGGGACGGCUAACUACGUG
rnacentral:rRNA from 1 species